rnacentral:ncRNA from 1 species
AGGGUGAGGGUAGAGAGGGAAUCCGGUGCGAGACCGGAGCAGUGCCCGCUACUGUAAUUGCCUUCUGCGUGCAGCGCACCAAACGUCACUGGGGCCUCCCCCUGGGAAGACGCGCUGCCGGGCAAAAGCCAGGAAACCUGCCAUUUCGCUAA